rnacentral:lncRNA from 10 species
UAAAUUUAAAAAAAAAAGGCAUGUAACAAUUAUUUAUUUGACAGGUUUCCCCAAAACUGUAGUCAGGUAAAAUAAAUCCAAUCUGUUAUGUUAGUUUGCUACUAAAGGGGAAAAAAAGGAUCAAACUUACAGGAAAGCCCCACCUCCCCUCCACAUGUAGAAAUCUGUCUAAAGACUGUCUUUAAUGCCCACUAUAUAAACAACAUUAAAUAUUCUAAGUUACAAAAUAGUGUUAAUGGUUUAUUGGUAAAAAUCCAAACUCUAGAGUUUAUGGAAUUCGUAGUUUGGUUGGUAUAUUAACACUCCAUCUUAAUCUUUGCUGCUAUUACAAAGAAUGAGGAAAGCUAGAAAUAUCUAUAAAAAUAAAAUACCUUAAAACCGACAAGCAAAAUAUAAAAGUUGCAUACAAAUUGCCAAUAAAUAUAAACAUCACAAUAGAAAAAUUAAUCUUAACAAAAAUAAACUCAUAAUUGCUAUUAAGACAUUAUAAAAACAAAAAAGUUUAAUGUGCAUGUAUAUUUGCAAACAGACACAGUACACUCCAAACAAUAUAAUUUUACUAUCAUUAUUAUAUAAUGCAGCAUACAAGGUUACUGAGGUGUGGUAUUUUUUGUUGUUGUUGUUGUUUGCUUUUAGUCUUCUUUUCUGGAAGAAUGCUCACCAAAUUCACAGGAAAGAAGUGCCUAGGUGAUCAUUUACUGCUAUUUACUGCUUCCUGGUAUGGAGCAAAAUUGCCCUCUGGUAGGUAACUACAUUUCUAAUUAGUAUGAAAGGUUCUACUAUUUUCCUUUCUUUUGCUUAUUUCCCCUUAAGCACAAUUUGCAGACCCUACUUCUAUUUAACUGAUCAUACCCUUUUAAAUGCCUUGUCAUCAUUUUUCAUAGUUCCUGCAUCCUAGAAAAAAUAAAAAAUCAUUUAAAAUAUUCCUUGGUGUCUAGAAAAGAAAAUUUCUCUAACAAUAGAGAUUAUCAUUUUGCUUUCUCACUUAAGCUGAUCUGAAUGAUGAUUUGGUACUGCCUUUAUGAGCAGUCCUCCUUAAUAAUGACUAAUUAGGGCCGGGUGUGGUGGUGCAUGCCUGUAAUCCCAGCUACUUGGGAGGCUGAGGCACGAGAAUCACUUGAACCCGGGAGGCGGAGUUUGCAGUAAGCUGAGAUUGAGCCACUGCACUCCAGCCUAGGUGACAGAGCAAGACUUUGUCUCAAAAAAAAAAAAAAAAAAAAAGAUUAAUUAGAAAAUGUUGCCUAUGAUUCCAGGCAAGUUACAUUUCCCUUUGGACAUUGGUACUAUACCCAUAAUCUUGUUAAAAAGUUAAGUAGGUUUGCUGUUUUAUGUGCAUUAUGGAUUUCCUCCAACACAGUUGGGAAUUAAAAGAGGUAAUUCUACUAAAUAUUUUGUUUUCAAAUUUACAAAAUAAAUUUGGUGAGCAUUUACCUAGAUACUUUACUGCAUAAAAGCUUUCCUUGGUUCCCUUGGACGAGAUUCAAGACAACAACUAACAUUAUUUUUAUGAAACUGUCACACUCUUGGAGUUCUAAAAUAAUUUAUCUUUAAAAUUCUUAGCUUCGUGCUACUUGAAAAAUAAAAAUCUACAGCACCAUCUUCUGAAAAGGCACUUUCUAAGAACCGCCUUGCUUUAAAAAAUGAUUAAAAAAUUUAACUCAAGAGUCUACGCCCUGACAAACGUCUUUGCUUUACUGAGACCCUAACAUAGAUACAUUAGAUUCUGGUUACCUUAGAAAUUAGUCUAAAAAAGGAAGGGACCCCGAUGGCUGGAUAGGUGAUUUGACAGGAUUCUAAUUUUGUCACACCAUUUACCUGAUACUUCAACAGGGUUUCUCACUGGUAAAUCUCAACCCUCUAUAUUGAAUUUACCAUCCUUCUAUCUUUAAUUCAAAUUAAAAUCUUUAACUUCCAUAUUUUAAGAACAAAAGAUUCUUGAGAUUUAAUCAAUGAUGUAAACAUCUGGAGUACUAGUUUUGAUGGGUAAAGUAAUAUAAAUUUCAAUGAGUAGUAGGUAAUAUUAGCACAAGCCUUGACCAUUAUACCUUAGUUUAAAAAAUUAUGUUGACUGACAUGGAAAAUUAUAAACUUAAAUGUACCAUUUUAAAAGUAGGAAAAAAGUCAAAAUAAUUUUUCCCUUUGUGUGUGUGUGUGAGAUUAUAUAUAUACACACUCAUACAUAUACACACACACACACUCCCCCUCCCUGCUUCCUGGGACUCAGCUUGGCUUUCACUAAUCACAGUGUCAUUUCUAACACUGCAACGGAUCAAGAAUGUUCUUAGUAUAAGCAGGACUUUUUUAAAAAGAUUUUUUGGAGAAAAUUCUCACUUUCUGAUUUCUGUGCUGACUGACUUACCUACUCUUGGCUGAUUUUUUGACUCCUAUAGAAUCACAAAAGUGCUUUUCUAUGAUCAAAUAUGAGGACUGAAAUAGGAAAACAAGAGUUCUAAAUUAGGGUUAUACUGCUACACAGGAAGGCGUUACUUGAUGUCAAACCUCCCAACAAUUCUUACUGAAGCUUUAAGACAUUUAUGAAUUCUCAAAAAGAAUGAAAAUAAUGAAUACUUCAUAUGGAUAAAGCCAAAAUAAAGACGCCACACUAAUGAUAUUUUUGCAGCUUGACUAACUAAUAAAAGGUAAUUUAAGUAGCAAGUUACUGUUAAGGGCAACCUGCCUGUUCAACAGAAGAACAUCUAAGAGGAUAAGCUAAGCAAACAUUUAACUCAGGUUUAAUGAUACUGAAUGAAAAUUUUGCAGAGUUGUCAGUUAAACUUCUUGGUAAAAAUAUUAAAAUCAAGUUUGAAAUAGGAAGACUGCAACAUAUUCUAGCUGUAUCGAAGUCGUUUGCUUCUUGAAUUUCAUAAAAAUCACUGCCCUUGGCAAAUUCAUGUAGGGCUCUAAACAGAUCCAUCAAGUUCCUUGAGUCACAAACGGUCUCUAAUUCCUGGUCUGCAAUCCAUCUAAAUACUUCGGAUCCAUCACUGGCAUGCUUAGCGCUCACCCUUUCCUUGAACACAGAGAUCCGCUGCCAGUCAUUCCUGCUGAAGGGCAAGUCAGGUUUUAUUUCCCUAGACAUGCCUUCAGUCUUUCAUGACUCUGUCAGAAGGCCUAUCCUCCUAAAAUCCAUUAGAGAAUACACAAGCAAACACUAGGCAGUGGUGGGCUGUGGAGAAGCUAGCUUGGAAACUGGUCUAGAUCUUUAGAAGGCUGAGAAUCCCUGUGCUGGAAAGCAGAGAUGCCUCUAUCAAGUGCCUUCCAAAACACUCAGUAAUUCCUACUAGAAUCCCUGCUAGACUCUCUUCUAGGAAUAGAAAUAUAUUAAUAGGUUAUAAACAGGGAUUUCCCUUAGAAUGAUAGUUUUUCCAAGAAACUUGUUAGAAGAUCACUAUUAAGAAAAAGAAAGGGAAUCUAAUAUUUCUGUUGAAAUGUGCCAAAAAACCAGUACUGAAGAGGCUGAGGUACCCUUUUUCAAACUGUAAAAGUCAAAAUCUACAUUUCUAAAACAAAGAAUAUCCUGAUAUUAAAUUGAAACUAAAAUGGCAGCACCCUUUGUUACUUUGAUAUUCCGUGUCCUUACUCUUAGGAAAAAAAAGGGUCUAACACUAGCCUUGAAUCCUGCUUAUCUCCUUACUGUUUAGUGCAGUAACUGUCAGAAUCUACUUAAAUAAAUAUAGCAGCUACAAUAUUGUAAGUGUAUGGUCCUCCAUGCCAGUAACCUGAUACUGUGAUAUAAUACGAUACAAAUAUUACCUUUUGUAAAGUUCUUUGCAACAGUGUUGUAAAUUGCAUUUCAGACACUUCAAAAUAAUAAACAUACAAAAUACAGUACUUUCUUAGUUUUCUGGCAGAGGGACAAAAGAUUUCAUGCCUGUCAGAGGACAUGGGCUCAGAUUUUAGGCUCAAAAUACAGUGAAUUGGCAAUAAUAGUGGAUUACAGGUAAGAGAGAAACUAAAGAUCUAAAUCCAUUAGGUUUCACGUGCAGAUGGAAUUCUGAAAGGCUAACAACAAUGCCCACUGGAAACAAUCUGUAGUAUCUAUACUCUGAACCAGUGCAAAAAAAAAAAAAAUCAAAAUGCAAUUUUCAUGAGUUACAAAGUGCAAAGCUCCCCUGAAUCCAAUGUUACUGAUAAACUCAGUUUUGAUAGCUUUAUAGUACUUUUUAAUACCUUAAAGUGUAAUCAAUAAAAGUUUUGUAAAACAAUUUCCCACGUUUCAGUGAUUUAACUGAUUUAAAAUGAUCAAAGUCCUAACUUCCUUUGUUACUAUCACCUUAAUUUUAAAAGGAAAGUUAUACUGGUGAUACAUUAGCAAAAGUUUUAAAAUAUCAUCUUGCAUUUUCCUGAUUCAUUUUAGUAAAUGAAAAUGGGCAUCUAGCCAAUAUGAUUCUUCAAUAAACACAAUCUAUUUGCAAAUAAUUUAAAUAUGUUAAGCUAUUCACAAUUAUAUAAAAGUUCAACUUUAUUUCUAAUAUUCAAGUUGGACUCAUUUAGGCAAUUUCACUUCAUUUUCAUUAUGAUUUUUUUUUCUUUUGAGACGGAGUUUUGGUUUUGUUGCCCAGGCUGGAGUGCAAUGGUGCAGUCUUGGCUCACUGUAACUUCCGCCUCCUAGGUUCAAGCAAUCCUGCCUCAGCCUCCCGAGUAGCUGGGAUUAGAGGUGCCCACUACCACGCCCAGCUAAUUUUUGUAUUUUUAGUAGAGACGGGGUUUCACCACGUUGGCCAGGCUGGUCUCAAACUCCUGAGCUCCGGUGAUAUACCUGUCUCAGCCUCCCAAAGUGCUAGGAUUACAGGCAUGAGCCACCGCGUCCAGCCUUUUAUCAUGAUGAAUUUUAAAAGAUAUGCUUUAAAACUGAAAAUUACAAAACUUUCCUUCUGAAAUUAAGGCUGUAUUCUUUGCCCUUUUAAACUAUGGAGGUGCCUGUUCCUCCUACUAUCCAUGGUAAAGAUGCAGACACAACUUUCCUUUAAAACUGCUUAUUGCACUAAAAGAUAGCAAAAACAAGUUGUCAGUUCUUAAAAUAAACAUGAUUAUAUUUCUAUAAAAGAUGCUGCCAAUACAAUUCUAUAAUUAUUAAAGCACUAUUCUAAUAAAUAUAAAAGAAAAGGAAGCUAUACUUCCAAACACAUACAUAUGUGUUUAUAUACACACACAUACAUAUAUAUAUAUAAAAAAUAUAUGAAAAUCACAUUAAGGUAUGAGAGGCAGCAAGUAAACUAUCAAAAAACAAAACAAAAAAAUCCCUCAACAAACUCUUCUCUCUACUCAAUUUCAGAGGUCUCAACCCUACAGAGCUCUAAUCUUUUAAAAUAUUUACCCUUUAUAAAACCUUUAAAGAAUUUCCAUGUAUAACCCAUAGAAACAGAAGGCUUCAGAAUACACAUCACUUACCAGAGAGAAAGUUACAACUUCUGACAGGUUUUAUAUUUAUAGCAGCUUUAACAAACUCACUAAAGAAAAAGAAUAGUAGGCCGGGUGCGGUGGCUCAUGCCUGUAAUCCCAGCACUUUGGGAGGUCGAGGCGGGUGGAUCACAAGGUCAAGAGAUCGAGAC